AUGCUAUCUCAUAAGAUUGAUAUAAAGUUUAAUUGAGACACUGUAUGUAAAGCACCUGGAGUAGGGCUUAUCACAGAGUGGAGGGUGCUGGAACCAUCUGCAGGCUCAUUCACUCAUAUGUCUGGCUUCUGUGCUGGGAUGACCUAAAGGCUGUUGAUCAAAGGCCUCUCCCGGAUCCUCAGGGUAGUUGCCCUUUCUAUAUGCACCUCAGGGUUCCAAGAACAAGUGUUCCAGCAACAGAAACAGAAGCUGCAUGGCGUUUUAUGACCUCACUUCAGAAGUCCC
rnacentral:lncRNA from 1 species